rnacentral:tRNA from 1 species
CAAAAUGACGCUUAACUGAAGCCCUUCGCUUAUACCGAAAAUAUAUCUGUUAAACCCAGAUCACUUUGAG